CGGGGGGAGCGCCUUGUGCCCCCCGCCUGCCGCCGUCCCCUCCCCAGAGGGGGACACCCGCCCCUAGAACUCGGCCAUUCCACCAAACCCACCGGCUUCCAGCCCCCGGCUGCCCAGCUGAGCGCAGAGCUGCCCAGAACCAGCCCCAAAACCUUGAGGAGCCUCCAGCUCAUUAACCGUUCUCUGAGAGGGAGAAUCAUGAAGGAUGCAGAGGAAGAGCCUCGAAACCCGCACGUGCCUCGGGCAGCUCUCCCAGAUUUCCCAUCCCCACGGCAUUGCCCCGGCUCCCGAAGGAAAACACCAGGAGGGUCUCAAGUCUUGAGGAUCCAAGCAGACAGAAGGGAAGAAUCAGCUCCUCCUGCCAGGUGGACCAAGGACACCUUCAGGUCUCCCCCUGCAGGCUCCCUUCCCCUCCACCCCGGCACUCAGAUCCUCCGGGGAGCGGCGCAGCUCACGGCGUCUGGGCAGCGCCAGGAGAAGGACAAACAGCAUCUGUCCAGCUCAGCAGGGAACCAGCGCAGCUUUCCCAGCCCGUCCCCGUGUCUGGGAGCCCGGCACCAACCGGGACUCAGCGUUUCCAGCCCUUCAUCCUCCCGGAUGAGACAGGCUGUGGGGAGAAGACCCCAACACGAUGAGGGAGGGGUUUAGUGAGGGCCCCUCAGCCCCUGUGGCCGUUAAGACAUUCCAGCUCGGGAUAUUCUGGUAUCCACGGCUCUGGGAUUUGAGAUCUUCUGGGCUGGGAGGACAGGAGGCUCCUGCUGAGUGCAAGGGAUGACAAAGGAGCUCAGGCACAGAAGGUUUUGCAGAUUCCUGCAGUGUUCCUCCUGAGAAUCACCCCCCUCAUUCCCCCUGGCUCUGGAUCCCGGCUCCUGUGACCCUGAACACCCUGACUGGCUGUAAUUAAAGGCCGAGCAAUUGCC
rnacentral:lncRNA from 1 species